UGCCCUGCGGUGCGUCUCGUGCAUUUCCCCUUUGGUGGAGGGGAGGAUAUAGGGAAACUCGGUAAAAACAGUUUGAGGGAGUAGGCGUCGAAUCCCAGAGUCUGAAGUUCGCGACUUCUAGAAAGGGAGGGGAGUGGAAAGGCUCUCAAAGAAGAAGGAAACAGGCUCGGAAGGAAAUGAGGACAUGACUUGUUCAAGUUCACGCAGCUGGUACAGAACUCUUCAGAUCACAACUUAUCAGUAAAUCCAGUAUCUUAAAACAAAUAAAUGUUGCAGGAGUGGGGAAGAAUCAGAACUAUCCCAACCAGCCAGCACAUCCUCCAUUCCCACCCCCCACCCCAGAGGGUGAUGCAGGGGGCACUUUGAAAACCAUUAGAAAGAUGUAUCUUCUCGUAAAUGACUUGAAAUGCCACAUCUGUAAUAUACUACCUUAAAAAAGUUACCUAUUCCCAAAAAACAAUUUACCUAUUCCAAUUUUUUCUAUUUUGUGCCAAUCUUAUACUUUAAGGAGCCUAAGACUUCAUAGUAAAAAGAAAUUGAAAUGUCUAAUGUGUAAAAUAAAUAAUGUCAGGGGGUUUUAUUUAGCCUGUGAAAUUGAUAGGUUUUUAAAAAUAACAUGCCAUAUUGCUAAGAAUGAAUAAGUAUGUUUAAUACAGUAUAGAGGUUUAACUUGGUAAAAUUGUAUAUUGAUGGGACGGCGCCUGUGGCUCAGUUGGUAGGGCGCCGGCCCCAUAUACCGAGGGUGGCGGGUUCAAGCCCGGCCCCGGCCAAACUGCAGCCAAAAAAUAGCCGGGCGUUGUGGCGGGCGCCUGUAGUCCCAGCUACUUGGGAGGCUGAGGCAAGAGAAUCGCUUAAGCCCAGGAGUUGGAGGUUGCUGUGAACCGUGUGAUGCCACGGCACUCUACCAAGGGCCAUAAAAAGUGAGACUCUGUCUCUACAAAACAAAGAAAAAAAAAAAAUUUGUAUAUUGAUGGAUAAUUUGAUAAUGUGUUAAGAGUUUACUCUGCUUAUAUCCUUUGAUCCAAUGGAUCACUUGCAGGAUUUAACCCUAACAAAAUACACAAACGUGCGGAAAAUUUUUGCUAUUGUUAAUAUUAUUGAUAAUACUGAAAGUGAUCCACAUAUUCAACAGUGUGGAACUGGUUAAAUGGAUCUUGCUACAUCCCUCUGACAUGGGAUACUCUUCAGCCAUUAAAGUGGGGCAGCCCCAUAUACCAAGAGUGGCGGGUUCGAACCUGGCCCUGGCCAAACUGCAACAACAACAAAAAAAAUGCUGGGCAUUGUGGUGGGCACCUGUAGUCUCAGCUACUCAGGAGGCUGAGGCAAGAGAAUCGCUUAAGCCCAAGAGUUGGAGGUUGCUGUGAGCUGUGACACUACGGCACUCUACAGAGGGCAAUAAAGUCAGACUCUGUCUCAAAUAAAUAAAUAAAAUGAUAAUUGUAGAAAGAAAAAUACUGAGUGCUUGUCAUCAAUGUGGCACUGUACCAAGAACCUUAAUGUUGUGUUAGACCUAACAGUAUCCCUAUGUGAUAGGUAUUAUUAUUCUCAUUUAUAGCUGAGAAAAUACCAAGAGAACCUAGGUAGGGCAUCGCCUGUGGCUCAAAGGAGUAGGGCACUGGCCCCAUAUGCUGGAGGUGGCGGGUUCAAACCCAGCCCCAGCCAAAAACUGCAAAAAAAAGAGAACCUAGGUAAAAGUUCAAACAGCUGGUAAAGUAAAUGUUGCUGGAAUUCAACCUGUAUUUUAUUUUAUUUUAUUUUUUGAGAUAGAGUCUCAAUCUGUUGCCCUGGGUAGAGUGCUGUGGCGUCACAUCUCACAGCAACCUCAAAUUCUUGGGCUUAAGUGAUUCUCUUGCCUCAGCCUCCCAGUACCUGGGACUACAGGCACCAGCCACAACACCCGGCUAUUUUUGGUUGCAGUUGUUUAGCAGGUCUGGGCCGGGUUUGAACCCUCGGCCCUUUGUGUAUAUGGCUGACACCGUGCCAACUGAGCUAUGGGUGCCACCCAACCUGUAUCUAUUCUUAAUUCUCAUUCUUAACCAGCCAUAAUGAUAGAGAAAAAUAUUCACUAUUUGCUGGUAAGUUGUUUUAAUUCAGUUUAACUGACUUUAAACAAAUUUCCUCCUAUAUGCAGUUCUUUCUUCCAAAGUUACUAAGCUUGGUAAUUUUUCUCUGUGGCUCAAAGGAGUAGGGGCUUUGGCCCCAUAUGCCGGCGGUGGUGGGUUCAAACGCAGCCCCAGCCAGAAACUGCAAAAAAAAAAAAAAUUUAAAAUCCCCGAAAUCAAUCUACAUGUUUUGUCAUUGAUUUUGGAAGUAUUAUAUGCCUCUAUAAGGAUUCAAACAUUACAGAAUAUUAUAAAGGGGCUUCAUCUUAUAAAUAGCUCUGUAUUUGUUUUUUUUUAGAGUGCCGUG